AGUGAAUAGAUACCCGGGUAGUCCACGCCGUAAACGAUGGAUACUAGCUGUUCGGAGCAAUCUGAGUGGCUAAAGCGAAAAAAGUGAUAAGUAUCCCACCUGGGGAGUACGCACGCAAGUGUGAAACUCAAAGGAAUUGACGGGGGCCCGCACAAGCGGUGGAGCAUGUGGUUUAAUUCGAUGAUACGCGAGGAACCUUACCAGGGCUUAAAUGUAGAUUGACAGGACUGGAAACAGUUUUUUCUUCGGACAAUUUACAAGGUGCUGCAUGGUUGUCGUCAGCUCGUGCCGUGAGGUGUCAGGUUAAGUCCUAUAACGAGCGCAACCCCUGUCGUUAGUUGCCAGCGAGUCAUGUCGGGAACUCUAACGAGACUGCCAGUGUAAACUGUGAGGAAGGUGGGGAUGACGUCAAAUCAUCACGGCCCUUACGUCCUGGGCCACACACGUGCUACAAUGGUAGGUACAGAGAGCAGCCACUGCGCGAGCAGGAGCGAAUCUACAAAACCUAUCUCAGUUCGGAUCGGAGU
rnacentral:rRNA from 1 species